UACGUAGGGACCAAGCGUUGUUCGGAUUUACUGGGCGUAAAGGGCGCGUAGGCGGCCACCGCAAGUCGGUUGUGAAAUCUCUGGGCUUAACCCAGAAAGGUCAACCGAUACUGCGGGGCUAGGGUGCAGAAGGGGCAACUGGAAUUCUCGGUGUAGCGGUGAAAUGCGUAGAUAUCGAGAGGAACACCUGCGGCGAAGGCGGGUUGCUGGGCUGACACUGACGCUGAGGCGCGAAAGCCAGGGGAGCAAACGGG
rnacentral:rRNA from 1 species